ensembl:lncRNA
CUUCCAUGUCAGACACGGUUCUGUCAGAUUGCCCGUCUGCUGUUAUCUGUCACACAGCAACAAAACGUAGUGGGAUAUUGGUGGGAAGGUUCAACCUCUACUGCCACACCGCCAACAUGUGCCUCUGGUGUUGUGGGCCAACAGCAUAAAAUAGGAGGCAUUAUUUUUGGAGCAGCCAUUGCUGUAGGAAAAGAGAAGCCUCUGAAGACCUUGUGAAAAGACUAAUGGAGAGCCACUGUGGAAAUAAAUACUUGGAAGACAGAGGAAGAAAAAUGAAAAGGAAGGAAAAAUUUGGGUUGAAUAUUGUCUUGUUCCAUCCAUUUUAAUUUUAUUUAAAUAUGACAUUCUGCACCUCUUGGGAAAAAAAAGAAUGUUGAAAUGAGCAGCCAGCAGAAGAUAUCUUCUCGUACAACAUCCUGACACCUGUACUUGUGUUAUGAGAGAGAGAGGAGCAAAAGGCAGCAGUGACUCAUCCAGUCAGCAUGGAUGCCAGACUUCUGCAAUGCACUCAGAGAGAAGGUGAACUGAAGACAGCCAGAAGACAGAAGCUGAAUUUGAAUGGUUUAGUGCUAAAUGCAACCCGAGAGGUGUACGUCUUCC